AACAGAAAAGAAGUAAACACAAAUUUUAUCUUUAUUUAUAAUAAAUUAUUAAUGUCUCAAAAAAAUGAACGGAAAUAAAUCUAAAAAAAUAAAGAAAAUAUAGUGCCCCGAAUUGGUAGUAAGUCACAAAGCCAAUUCUUUUCACGAAAUCAGUGUAGUGAAAAGAUUUGGGAAUAAAGUUAUACAAAAAGAUGCGAAUUUGUGAGAUACAGAUAUGUGUGCUUUGUUUAUGUGCAACCAUAUGAAACAAGAUGCCCAGGAAUAUCAUUUGGAUACUUCAUGAAUGAAACUAUCGGCAAUUUCUUCCCAAGCAACUGACGGAGGCUCCACUGUCUAGAAGUCCUUGGUAAGCAGAUCCAUGUAUCUGCACUGUUAUAUAAGAUUUUCUUUCGAUGAAUCUAUUUCUGGCUUUUGCUAUGUUUUUGCUAAUGAUGGGACGGUAGUCGGAGAAAAUUUCUGCACGCUUUUCAUUAUACCUUUCUAGACGUUGUUCAUAAGACAAGUUUGGGUUAGGAUUAGUAUUGGAAUUGGAUGUCGGUAGAAUAUAAGUGCUAUUGUUAUAUUACAAUCAAUAUAAGUACAUUCCGGUUGACAUUUUGUAGCUUGGAGAUCCUAACAAAAAGCUAAUAGUGUUUGAGACUACUUGAUCCCGAUGCACAAUAAUCUCCUGAAUAACAAGUGCUCUAAUUAGUCUAAUUGAAUUUAGAAAAUUGAAUAUGUUAUCCGAGAUUUUGUACUUUAAAAUUUAUAAAUGUUUUCCAAUUUUCAAGAAAAUCAAAUAAAUUUAAUUCAUGUCAAGAUUGUGUGUCAAAUUUAUCCAUGAACUAAGUAUUGGACAUUUUACCUUAUAAUAUUAAUUUGAGUCCUAUAGAAUCUCAUCUCUUCUCAUUCCAGACAAAAACAAAUGAACUCUAAACUACUUUGGUUUCCGGAUCAUGCUUUUUGUCCAGAAUUCGAAUUGAUGGGAAUCCAAUUGACUCACUUCAGUAAUCAGUAACUUUCACGGAUAGAUCGCAACUCAGGCAGGCUACUUUCCUAUGUAGCU